UGGUUCUGGCAUCGAUGAAGAACGCAGCAAAAUGCGAUAAGUAAUGUGAAUUGCAGAAUUUAGUGAAUCAUCGAAUCUUUGAACGCACAUUGCGCCCCUUGGUAUUCCGAGGGGCAUGCCUGUUCGAGCGUCAUUACAACCCUCAAGCUCUGCUUGGUGUUGGGCACUACCUGCUGGUAUGCCCUAAAAUCAGUGGCGGAAGCAACUGGCUCCGGGCGUAGUAACAUUUUCGCCUCGGACACCAGCUGCAACCUGCUAAACGGUCGACCGGCUUUACCGGUCCCCCUUCUCAGGUUGACCUCGGAUCAGGUAGGGAUACCCGCUGA
rnacentral:misc_RNA from 1 species